CUAGAGAGAGAGGGUCCGCACCUCCUUAAUGAA
rnacentral:tRNA from 1 species